AGGAGAGGAGCUCUCUAUGUGAUAGUGCAGCAGAUGGAAAUUGGGUUUCCAAAUACAAAAGGAAGCGAAGCAAGUUAACAGCAGCUAGCUCAUCAAAUGAGCAUGAGGCUGCAUCACCAACGCCGGACUCUCUCAUGAACAAUGGUUCCAUAAAGAAGAGGUCCAAGCAUGACGCUGGCAUUUCUACGUCGACCAAGAAGAUACGAGGGCAUGAUGGGUGGAUCAAUGGUGCUCCAUAACCAGGGCCUUCAGCGCGGUUGUUUCAAGAUGAGGUCAGUUUUUUCGCCAUAUGUGUAGCCUUGCAGUUCUACAACCUAAGAUAUAUGUUUGGAUGUGUUUGAUUCAAACAUACAUAUUCAGAAACCGUUGUGUAUUUCAGAACUAUAAUUUAUCUUAAUUAGGUUAUAGUUUGGUGUUCUUUUUGACUAGGCUCUACAUGCUGCUUUGGCUAUCAGUGAUUUGGCCGCUCAAGCAUUGCUAGAGGACUUUUUAGGAAGCUGCAUUGACAUAUGCAGAUUUACUAAUUAUCGGAAUACUCUUUCAAGGUAAGAAUAUGGAGCCAAACUUGGAAAUGUUC